UACGAAGGGGGCUAGCGUUGCUCGGAAUCACUGGGCGUAAAGCGCACGUAGGCGGCUUUUUAAGUCAGGGGUGAAAUCCUGGAGCUCAACUCCAGAACUGCCUUUGAUACUGAGAAGCUUGAGUCCGGGAGAGGUGAGUGGAACUGCGAGUGUAGAGGUGAAAUUCGUAGAUAUUCGCAAGAACACCAGUGGCGAAGGCGGCUCACUGGGACGUUACUGACGCUGAGACGCGAAAGCGUGGGGAGCAAACAGG
rnacentral:rRNA from 1 species